UGAUCCUGGCCUCUAUAGUGAAUGGGAUUUUGAUGUCGACGGCUCUGCCGACGUGAGGGAUCUCAGGUCGCCGUCGCCCUUUGGGAGCUCCCUCUCCUUCCUGCCUUCUUACCGUGGUGCCAGGGAUCAACGUCCAGACGCCAGCACGAUAGAGCUAUUGUGCUGCUGCCUCAGGUUGUCCAGGCGCGUCAUCGGUCCCAGCUACCCAUCAUCAAGAUCCGACGUCCUUUGUCCUUUUUUCCGAUUGAUGUUUACGUGGGUGUUGCUGGCUGCUUCCCUCUUGCCCCCUGGCCAGCAGGGUCCUCCAUGACCAGGCCCCCCAAGCUAAGGAGUAACAUGCUGCAGCUUCUGCCCACCACCAUGUAUGAGACAUCGAAAUCUAGGAAGCUGCAGAGAGGCUGGUGCCAAAUCUACAUCAGAACAACGGCAAGUUAACAAACGAGGAAGCUGGAGUUGUACUGUGACUAUUGUUAGAUCUGUUUUUGCACUUCUGAAUUUUACUUGAGAAUGAAUCUCGAAGGUACAACUCCUGCAGAGUGCUAGCGCCCACCUACAGAUGACAAGAUUUUCUUCUUCUGAAUGUAAUGAGGCAUGAUCCACAAACUCUUCAUAGAACUUUGAAGCAAAAUAUUGAUCCCCUGCAUGCAUAUAUGAUUGCGAACCAAUUAUUUUUCAA